rnacentral:lncRNA from 1 species
AACAUGCUGCAGGGCACAGGUGGGAGCUGAGACCGAGGGCUGGCGGCGUGCGAUCGUCCCGGCGGGGCUUUGCGGGCCGGGGUCGAGGGUCCUGCGACGCGGGUGCAGCGCUCCCCGACCUCGCCUGGGGAAAGAGCCGUUGCGCCCCGAAUCCUCUGGCCUCCGUGGGCAGCUUCGGGUAGAUGGGGGAGGGGGAAGGAAAGGACUAGGAAGUUCAAAGACUGAAGGAAAGCCCUUGGCUUUGUUUUUAGAAGCUCAUUCGACACAGCUGGCAGCUGCGGUGGGGGUCCAGCCGGGGGGAGCUGUGCCUGUCUCUCCACGUGUCCUUGUAUGCAGAAGGCAGGCUUUGGCUCUGCCAGGGCUAGCUUCUUUUUUUUUUUUUUCCCUACACCCCCCCCUCCCGCCCAUGGUAAGCUCCGUGGGAUCUUGUAAUUCUGACCUUUCUCUCUGCAAGGUCAAGUAUUACUUAUUUUCAUUGCAGUCACAAAGUUGGCUUAGAUUUUGAUGCCCCCAGACAUUUCUUAGUCACUAAAGUUGUCCUUGUAACAGUUACAUAAACGAUUGCUGUGUUUCUCCUUCCAAAGUCUUCUAACUCAGCACAAAAAAUCUAGCCAACACUUUACAAAGGGUGGGUUUGUGGUAAGUUCUAUUUUAAGAAAAGCAUUUUUAAAUUUAUUUUUUGGGACAGUGUCAUUCGAUGUAUUCAAGGAUAACUUUAACUUAAGUUUGACAUCCUCCUGUCUCAGCCUCCCUAGUGAGUGCUGGGAUUCCAGGCGCCAGCCAACUAACAGCUGUAAACUAUUUUUUAAAAGCUUGCACUAGAUGUGUUUCUCCACAAUAGUGUUGACCUUCAAUUUCAAACUAGUGCCUAUUUUGAAAAUUCAUUUGAAGCUUAUUUACACAGAAAUAAUACCUGUUCAAGGUUUUAAAAAAAAGAAAGUAAAGGCCAGGGAGAGGAGGGAAGACAGAAAUGUAUAAAGUAAAAAGCAAAGUUUUCUCUUAGUCCCUACCUCAGCCCAGAACCUCGGAGAGAAACAGUCUAUCUCCUUCUGGAAAUGUCUUUGUGUAAAGCUCCUUCUUACAACCUCAGUGUAUCAAGUUACCAUCUACUUACUCCACAUCAGUGUUUUCGCACACUGCAUUCAGCCUGCCAUCCCAUAUGGAGACGUUGUCCGGUUCCGCACUGCACUGCUUACCCUGUGUCUGCUGAAUCUACCGCGAUUUAUUUACCUCUCCACUCCCUCCUGGCGGGUGUAUAGCUAGUUUCUAGGAAAGGGUGUUUUUUGUUUGUUUAAAAGACACUGAUAUUCAAGUGUGUGCGUGGGGGUGGGGGUGUGUGAAAACCCACAGUUUUCAGUUUCUUUGGCUCGAUCCUCUGCACCCCUCAAGCAUGUUUUCGUUUUCUUCUAAUGUCGACCUUAAGAAAUAAUAAAGGCUGCAGUUAAUU